CCUGCACAUUGGUCUUCCUGCCCCUUGCAGUCUGCCUCCUCACAUGCCAGCCUCCCUACCUGCUGCGCCUGUGGACCUGGUUCCCUGAGAGAGAAUUAAAGUCUAAAAAAUUCAGAGGGCUCCGGGACUCUCCUUUAUCCAUCUGCCAGAAGGAUUGUGAUCCUGCCCUGUGCCUGCUGGCACUACAACCCAAAAGAUGGAGUGCCUAAUCACCAGCCAGCAGAAGAAAGAAGAGGCUCCAUCUUUCAGGGACACAGCAGAGGGCUGGAAGCCUGCUAAGGGCACACAAUGCUUCUCCUCCCCUUGGAUUACCACUUAAACUCUGGUCUCAUUUUCUUCAUUUAACCAGUGGACAUAAUGGGUCCCAAUUUCACUUUGUUAUCCAGAUGGAAGAUCCCCACAGUUAGCCUGUAUGAAAAUACGACCAGUCACACCCACGUAGCUACCCCUCUGAAGCACUGCAAGAAUUAAUAAUGGUCUGCAAAACACCCUGGGAUCAAGAGUGCACCAUGAGGGAGAGCUGACGGGGAUGAUUAAAGUGUCAUGGAUAAGUACAUUUUAAUGAAUGUGGAAAAACUUAUAGCACAGGCUCUUGGCUGGCUUGCUCGGGUGCCACAAUGCCUGAGGGCAAAAAGGAAUAUUCAUAAUAUUUCUGUAGAAAAAUAAAAGCAAUAACAAAAAUUUGACAAUCCAAGGGCAUAAACACAUUAAUAGUGAAAUAUUCUUAGCACCCUAAAAAAUCCAUCAAAAACUUUAG